CUGUGGGACCAACUACCGUUUU
rnacentral:misc_RNA from 1 species